AUAAAUAAUAACAAUAAAUAACAAGUCGGGGAGCUGGCCGAGCAACCGCCGGUGGACUCCGCGCCAGAUGCUUGCAUCUUCAAUUGUCCCGUGUCGUCCCUAAUCCGGCCAUUCGUCAACUGGACUAACUUUCAGCUGGACUGAAAGUCGCCAGUUAAGGACAUAGGCCUUCAGCAGUAUCCCGUAGGACUUUCCUUGAUGGCUGGGACUCCGAGGCUCUGAUUACGGUGGUCGUGCUGCGCGCAGUGAGACCUGCGGGUCACGACUUCACCAACAGAAUGCUACCAGAAAGCCCCAUCCACCGGGAAAACUCAAGAAUAUGCACAAAUUGACAUUAACAUGGAAAACAAACAUCUUUACGUUAAUUAAAUAAACAACAUGUAUCCCUAUCUCCUAAAUUAUCUCACAAUUGUUUUCAUCUCGUGCUUCAUGCACGGAUUUGUGGGCCGAGGUAUGCAAAUUCGUCGUUUCCACGCCCGGAUGCCACCCCCUUGCCACAGCAGAACCCUUGCAAACAGUGCCCAGGAGCAAUUGUCAGUCCUUCUGCGGAGCAAGCCUUCCGUCCUUUGUGGGAAAGAAAGAAGGAAACAUUAACAAUACUUACGCCUGGGCCGCCAGUCCCCGGUCCUAGGUGCAAUUGCAGGCCAUCAAUAUAGGCCAUGCGGCCGAUUGCGGAGGCUGGAUGCCCCGGGACGUGACCUAACGAGACAUCGCCAUUCCGCUAUUCUUUGAUUUGUUUUUAUUUGGGAGCCAUAUUGUUACGGAACUGCCUUCCUUGGGCAAGGCUGGGCUAGCUCAUGAGGCCCAGGGAUGGGUUCGACCCAAUGCCCGCAGUCCGCACUAUAAAACAUCGAACUAGUCGGACGUCUCUGACAUCACUCAACUCUAACAAAACUGUCAUCACUAAUUACAAAAAAGGUAAAUAAAAACAUAAAUAUAGGCGGACGACACUGCUGGGACAAAUUGGUGGCAUUGGUGUUUCCGCUACGACGCACCCAUCCAUCCUGUGAUGCCUCCUGGUCAUUUAAGGGGCAUCACCCAUUUCCGGCGGGCCGGAGUCUAUUCCAGGCGACCGGCUCAUCUCCCCCAAGAAAAAGUACUCUUCUGCAUGUUCAUUUCUAUAUUUUAUCGCUGUUCAACAAAAUUGUAGCUCUUAUAUUUAAAAUGGCAGGUAAGUGAUGUGUAUUAGGCGUCCCCUCACUCCCGGCGAGAUCUUGGCCCCUGGAGGAGAAGCGCCUCAAUAAUUUGGCCUCGAUUUGGCCACCAAAAGAUUACCCCUUUCGUCCCUAAUCCCUGCUGGAGCUCCAAGAGAAAUUAGAAGGGUUCGGGUGUUUGAGAUAAAAAUUUAAGACAACUGGCCUGGCUUCUGCUCCGUUCCCCCUCGAUCACAGCGCUUGUGUUGCACAAAUCCCGGACCCAGGAUACGGCCAAGCGGAGGACAAGUUGCACCAACGGGAUAGGCGGCCUGGAAAUCGGCUGCGUGCUGGCGAGGCAAAAAUUCUUCCAGCACGUCCCUUCAUAGCCUCGGUUCGUUCCCUCAGUUCCGUACCUUCAGCCCAUUACUUCUUAAUCUCCUUCAAUGCCUCGGCCAAGAGAAAGGCUCUUAAUCCUCAUCCGAAUUUCCCGGUUCGCUCAUUUGCAUCACCCCCACUAGGAAUACCUAUCCUACCUAUAUCCUAGCCCAAAUACACCACCCACUGUUAUUCGAUUUUCUAGAAAUCUGACGGUUUAAAAUAAUAUAAAUGUUCACCAAAUAUUCGCUAAUUUUCUCCUAGUAAGCAUAUAUACCGUGCAUAUGUGCACGCGUUCGUAAAUCGAAGUUAUAUGCCUUAAAAAUUUGAUGCCCUAUUUUGUAUGGAGCCGACCCCGAUGUUGGAUCACUAUUAUGCGAUUUGCUCAAAAACUGAAACUGCUUGAAGAAAUUGAAUCUUGGUAGGGUAAAACUACAAUAUAUGUCCUUCAUUUUGGUAUAUCGAGUAUUGCUGCACGCAUUUGAUUAGCCGAGUUAUUAAGAUAUCCGUGGAAACCCGAUUUUUCAAAUGCUUUUUUUAAUAUAUCCAAAUGUUAAAUGUCUUGAA